rnacentral:rRNA from 1 species
GAUGAACGCUGGCGGCGUGCCUAAUACAUGCAAGUCGAGCGAACGGACGAGAAGCUUGCUUCUCUGAUGUUAGCGGCGGACGGGUGAGUAACACGUGGAUAACCUACCUAUAAGACUGGGAUAACUUCGGGAAACCGGAGCUAAUACCGGAUGAUAUUUUGAACCGCAUGAUUCAAAAGUGAAAGACGGUCUUGCUGUCACUUAUAGAUGGAUCCGCGCUGCAUUAGCUAGUUGGUAAGGUAAUGGCUUACCAAGGCAACGAUGCAUAGCCGACCUGAGAGGGUGAUCGGCCACACUGGAACUGAGACACGGUCCAGACUCCUACGGGAGGCAGCAGUAGGGAAUCUUCCGCAAUGGGCGAAAGCCUGACGGAGCAACGCCGCGUGAGUGAUGAAGGUCUUCGGAUCGUAAAACUCUGUUAUUAGGGAAGAACAUAUGUGUAAGUAACUGUGCACAUCUUGACGGUACCUAAUCAGAAAGCCACGGCUAACUACGUG